rnacentral:lncRNA from 1 species
AAAUCGGAAAAAUAUGAUAUUGAUAAGAUUGGUGAUCAUCCACCACGAAGUGAGACUGGACCUACCAGACCCAUACGAGUUACUAUUGUAAAGGAAGACAAAAAGAACAUUGUGAGAAUCAGUGACUGGAUGCCAGCAGUUGAACCUACGUCAAGCAUAAGCAGAAGACUUCCAGCAUCAUCUUUGUCAGAGUUAUCUGGUGGGUCUCAGCAAUCUCAACUUCUGGCCUCAGAAGAGUCUGAGUUUCAUGUGAUUGUUGAGCUCGCUGAGCUUGGAAUCUCCGUAAUCGAUCAUGCUCCGGAGGAAAUAUUGUACAUGUCAGUGCAAAACCUCUUUGUGGCAUACUCAACCGGCUUGGGCUCUGGGCUUAGCAGGUGAGUUUAUCAGGUUCUUAAGUUGUAGCUUUAUUUUAUAGAGAAAGGAGCAUUCUAUUUCACCACUGCAGUUAUUCUGACCGUACUAAAUUCAUGUCUAAUUCGACAAUAGUGGUCACCGUCUUCACGCUUAUCAGUUAUAAAACCAAGCACGCUGGACUAAUGUUGAACGCUAAUUUUUUACAGGUACAAGCUAAGGAUGCAAGGAAUACAAGUGGAUAACCAAUUACCGUUGGCUCCAAUGCCGGUUCUGUUCAGACCACAGAAAACUGGAGAUAACGCUGACUGCAUUCUGAAGUUUUCUGUUACUUUGCAAUCGAAUGCUGGUCUCGAUCUCCGUGUCUACCCGUAUAUAGGUUUCCACGGACGUGAAAAUACUGCCUUUCUGGUUAACAUCCAUGAACCUAUAAUCUGGCGCAUUCAUGAGAUGAUUCAGCAAUCCAACUUGAGUAGACUAUCCAAUUCUGAGUCAACGGCUGUAUCAGUUGAUCCAUUCAUUCAAAUCGGGUAUGUACACACGGCCUUCUUAUAUAUAUGCUAUUUACUAAAUGAGUCCAUACAUUGACACUUACCUAUAUGGUUACAUCCUUCCAAAAUUGCAGAGUUCUUGAUAUCUCAGAAGUUAGAUUUAAAGUAUCUAUGGCCAUGUCUCCAAGUCAAAGGCCGAGGGGAGUGCUUGGCUUUUGGUCAUCCCUGAUGACUGCUCUUGGGAAUACAGAAAACAUGCCAGUAAGUUUUCCAUACUAACUGAUUGACGGUAACUAACAAUAGGGACCUCUGUGUUUCACGCGAUUAGCCUAUUAGGAAACAAUUUAUCAUAGUUAGCCUACUAGUAUGUACAUCUGACGCAGGGAUUAGUAUGUGGUAUCUACACGACUCUGGAUCAAUUGGCCAACACCCAUUAAUUAGUUUAUGACAAUCCGUUUUUACUUUUCACUCGUAGGAUCACUAUAAUGAUUAUAGUCGACGAGUUUUCACAACUUAUAUAGAAUUUGAUUUGUCGAUGUCCCAACUACUGGAAAUACUGCACUUCCAGCCCAACCCAGCCGAAUAUUCAUAUGUUUUUCUCUAUUAAUUUUUCAUAUUCUUGAAACAGGUACGCAUAAGUGGAAGAUUUAACGAGAACAUAUCCAUGCGGCAAAGCACUAUGAUCAAUAGUGCUAUUAGGAACGUAAAGAAAGAUCUCCUUGGCCAGCCUCUUCAGUUGCUUUCAGGUGUUGAUAUUCUCGGCAAUGCAAGCAGCGCUCUUGGCCAUAUGAGUCAAGGCAUAGCUGCGCUGUCAAUGGAUAAAAAGUUCAUCCAAAGUCGACAGAGACAGGUUCGUUCAUGGCUUUUAUUUUGCUCCUACAUCUUACUGUUUCAUGUAACAUAAAAAAUAUAAGUUGCCUUUCAUCUGUUCACCUAAUAUGUGAAAAAAAUUCAUUUGACGUUCCAGUGGCUUCUGAUACAAGUGAUUACUAACAUUUGACAGGAUAACAAAGGUGUUGAGGACUUUGGCGAUAUUAUCAGAGAAGGAGGUGGAGCUUUAGCGAAAGGCCUGUUUAGAGGAGUCACAGGCAUAUUGACAAAGCCUCUCGAAGGUGCAAAAUCUUCUGGUGUCGAAGGAUUUGUCUCAGGUUUUGGGAAAGGUAUUAUCGGUGCUGCUGCCCAACCUGUGAGUGGAGUUCUGGAUCUUCUGUCAAAAACCACUGAAGGUGCAAAUGCCAUGAGGAUGAAGAUAGCAGCAGCAAUCACUUCAGAUGAACAACUUCUUCGCCGGAGACUUCCACGAGCUGUUGGUGCUGAUAGCCUGCUUCGUCCUUACAACGAAUACAGAGCACAGGGGCAGGUACAAAUUUGUACUCAUGACUCUUUUCAAACUGUAUUCCACUAGUGGUUUUUCUCCUGAUGAGGAAUGGAUUUAUUCGUGAUGAUGAUUCAUUUUCUAACUUUUGCACUUACAGGUCAUAUUGCAGUUGGCAGAAUCUGGAUCAUUCCUUGGCCAGGUUGACCUGUUCAAAGUACGUGGGAAAUUUGCAUUGACAGAUGCUUAUGAAAGUCAUUUCAUUCUACCAAAGGGAAAAGUUCUAAUGAUCACACAUCGAAGAGUAAUAUUGCUACAAGUGAGUCACACAAUAACCUCUUACUCUUCUCAGUAUAUGCAUAAGGUCUAUAAUUUGGUCUAGUGUUCGUCCUCGGUAUCUAUCUAGCCAAGAAAUCCUCUUUGACAUUAGCAACAUUUUAUUUUAUUUCCAGCAACCGUCCAACAUAAUGGGUCAAAGAAAAUUCAUCCCGGCCAAAGAUGCGUGCUCUAUACAGUGGGACGUUCUAUGGACUGAUCUUGUAUUUAUGGAACUGACUGAGGGGAAAAAGGACCAGCCUAACUCUCCACCUUCGCGGCUUAUUCUCUAUCUGAAAUCAAAGCCAAAUGAUUCGAAGGAACAAGUCCGUGUUGUCAAAUGCAGUCCCAACACGAAGCAGGCCCUUGAUGUUUACUCAGCCAUCGAUACAACCAUUAACUUGUACGGGCAAAAUGAUUCAAAGGUUAGUGUAGCUUCUUUUUUCUUUCACAAUUAAUUAACAAUAAUGUCACCCCUUGUUUUGUUACAAAAAAAAAAAAAUAAUGUCACCCCUUGUUUAAAACAAAUUCAGAAUAUAUGUUUUGGUUAUUUGAUUUAGGCAUUGGUGAAAAACAAAGUGACAAGGCCGUAUUCCCCGAUAUCUGAGAGUUCUUGGGCUGAAGGAGGUUCUCAACAAAUGCCAGCUUCAGUUGCACCAUCUUCAACCUUUGGCACAAGCCCAACGACCAGCUCAAGUUAAAAUCAAUCUUUAAGCUGCAUCUUCUUGCUCUGUCACCUUCUCGCCCGCCACCCUGGUAAAUACUUUUUCCUGCUUCUUCCUCUGGCCAUUUCUCCAUUUGCCUCUGAACAUGUACUUCUGCCUGAUGAUUUUACUAUAACACAAACACAAUCUAAUGGUUUCUAUGCGUGUUUUUCGUUACUCAAUGUUCUCGUUUGAAACCUAAUCGACAUGUUUUCGUUUGUGUUCUCAGGUGUGUGGGAUGAAACACAGCUUUGGUAUAAAGACUUUUUCAUCGUGCUCAAAUUUUCUUUCUCGUGUAGGAUUUUCGUAAAUCAUAUCGUAGAACCAUAAUGUGUGUAUGUAUAUAUAUAAACCUCUGCAGUACAGACUUUUCCAAUAGUAAUCUCGUGUUGAUCAACACGUGUAUAUGGAAGCUGCCUUAUAUAAUUUUAUUGAUUUUAAAGAAUGUUGUCAGAAAGAACAAAACUUAUGCCCUUUCUGGAAGUUUUUUUUUUUUUUUCUUUCCCAAAUUGAUUAAUAUUAAAGAUGGCUCAAAGCCCACGAAACUACAAUCCAUUCUGAAAGCCCAAAAAAGGGAGCUCAGGAGAACAAAAAACAAAUAAAAGGCCCAAGCCCAAAAGUCGAAAACCCUAGCGCUGACAACACGUGUCUCGAAACCCUUUCUGGAAGUUUUAAUUUUAAAAGAAACAAUUAUACUAUUAUCUCCUAAGAAUGAUUUCACAAAUCUGUGUUUCCCUAGUAACAAUAAUGAAAACUCAGUUUUGUUUUUCUAUUUAACUUUAAAAUUACAACUAAAAUGUUUUAUAAAAUCUAUAUUAUUAAAACAGAAUUAUUGCUGUUUUUUCUUUUUAAAAAUAACUUAAUUUUAUUUAAAACUAUGGGUUGAUCCAUCCUACGGAUGAAUAGCUUACAAUAAAAUUAUUUUAGUUUUAUAAAUACUAGGUAAGGAAACCACGCGAUAUCGCAUGAAAACUCAUUUUUUAUAAAUAAAUCUAUCAUAUUAUAAUUUAUAUAUUAUAUAAAAAAAGAAUUUUAUUUUCAAAAAAAUCUUAUGUCAAAACAUAGAAUAUAUGUGUUUAUAUUUAUUUAUAGAUAAUAUUAAAAAUGUAUAUUCUAUAAUUUUAAAUUACAACUAAAAUACAAAUACAUCAAUACUAAUAAAAUUAUACAUUUUUUAUUAUUUUAGGUAAGUUACUCUAAAAUUUUAAAUUAUAUCAUGAGAAAAAGACUAGGAUAGCACCAAACCAAGUUUUUGUUCUCAAAGUAGCACUCAAGGCUCAAAGUCACAAAAAUAGGUUUCAUUAAAGAGGUAAAUAUACACUUAUAUCCCUUGGGUUAAUUAAUCCAAACCUUAGGGUUUAGUGUUAAGGGGGUGGGGUUUUAGAAUUAGGGUUUAAAAUUUUAUAAAAAAUAAAUACUAAAAUAAAAAUAAAAAAUUUUAAAAACAGUUUCAAAAAGUAUUUUUAAAUUAUAAAAAGAAAAUUUGAAAAAAAAAUAAAAAAAAAAUUUCGAAAAAAAAAUUUCAAAAAAAAAUUAUAAAAAUUUCGAAUCUGAAAAAUAUAAUCUGAAACUAUAAAAAAAAUUUAUUUUUUUCAUUUUAUUUAUUUUUUUUAUUUAUUUUUGUUUGUUUAUUUAAUUUUAAACCAAGGGUAUUAGAGAUAUUUUAUCCUUUAAUGAAUGUCAUUUUUGUGACUUUCUCCUUCUAGUGCUAUUUUUGUGACAUAAACUUCAAAAUGUGUUAUUAUUGACAAUUGCCCUUAUAUCAAUAUAUAAUAAAUAAAUAAAAUCUCUUAUUGAACAAAAAAAUCUUAUUGAAUAAAAAAUGUACCGUUUAUGUUAAACGGUUAUAUCGUCAAUGAAAAAGUACGAACGACUCAUAACCUAAGAGGUACGAACCCGUCAUAAACUAAGGGAUACAAACAUGAUGUGUCCAAGAGGUAUGAACUUGUUCCAAGGGAUAGACAAAUGUGCCUUGACCGAAGGUAUGAAUGUGUCGUGGCCGAAAAUGUGUAAAUGGCAUGAACGAAAGGGUGUGAACUGAAAUUGAGAUCCAUAAGACAAAAAAAGUUUCCAGAUGGGUAAAAACAUGCAAAAUCUAAGAAAUAUUUUAAAAAAUAAUAUAUUCUAAUUUGGAUAGACUUUUUAUGUUGUCGAUCACUAGCACCAUGGUUGACCAUAAGACAAAAAAGUUUUCGGAUCAGUAAAAACAGACAAAAUCUAAAAAAUAUUAAGAAAAUGAUAUAUUCUAAUUUGGAUAGACAUUUUAUGUUGUCGAGAAAAUGUCAUACUCUUAUAUCACCAGCACCAUGGUUGACCUUUAACAUUUUUUCAGUAAUGUUUCGUUUGCACUUUUUCAGUCACGAUCCGUGGUCAUGAUUCAUUGGCACUCUUUUGGAUACGACUCGUUUGCACCCUUUCAUUCACGAUCCAUUCACGUUCUUUCAGUUACGAUCCGUUCACACUCGUACGGUUACGAUCCGUUUACUCCUUUUGGUCACGACACGUUUGCACUUUUUUUUGUCACAACCCAUCUCCAAUCUUUCGGUCACGACCAUUUGCACUCUUUGGUCACGACCCGUUUGCAAUUUUUCGGUCACGAUCCAUUCGCAACCUUUCGGUCACGACUAUUUGCAAUCUUUCAAACACGACCAUUUGCACCCUUUCGAUCAUAACCCAUUUGCAAGCUUUCGGUCAUAACUCAUUUGCAUGCUUUCGGUCAUAACCCAUUUGUAUCCUUAUUGUAAUGGUCAAGAUCCAUUCGCAUCUUUUCGGUCAGGAUUAAUUUCAGAUCCUUUUGGUCAAGAACCGUUCGCACCCUUUCAUUUAUGACAGUUCACAGGCUUUCGGUCACGGUCCUUUUGUAAAUUUUCGGUCAUAAUACAUUCACACCCUUUCAGUCACAACACCUUCGCACCCCUUGGAUCAUGAUACUUUUGUACCUCUUGGAUCAUAGCAUAGCAUAUUUGUACCUCUUAGAUUAUGAUGUGUUCAUAUCUAUUAAAUUGCAACACAUUUAUAUCUCUAUGUUGAUGAUACUAUAUAAAUAUUUAUAAUUUUUAAUCAGUGUUAAUAUGAAAAGUAAACUUAUAUGAAUUUUUUUUGUAUUUAUUACUAUUGAGAUGAAAAUUUAUGUCUUUUUUGUUUUUACUUUACUCAUAUUUAUAUAUUAAUACUUCAAAAAUAUUUGUAGUUGUUUUAAAUAGACUUUUUAUGUUGGCCAGAAAAGAUCAUACUCUUAUAUCACCAACAUCAUGGUUGACCUUUAGCAUUCUCUCGGUGAUAUUCGUUCGCACAUUUUCAGUAACGAUCCAUUCUUACCUCUUUGGUCAUGAUCCAUUGAUAGUGACACACCUUUUGUUACGACUCGUUUGCACCCUUUCAGUCAAGACCCAUUCACACUCUUUCGGUAACAAAUCAUUCACACCCUUUCGGUUACGAUCCGUUCACACCCUUUUUUGGUCAGGACCAGUUUACACUUUUUCGGUCACAACCUAUUCACAACCUUUCGAUCACAACCAUUUGCACCAUUUGGUCACGACCUGUUUGUAAUUUUUCGGUCACGAUCCAUUCGCAACCUUUCAGUCACGAUCAUUUGCACCCUUUUGGUCACGGUCAAGAUCUGUUCCCACCCUUUCAGUCAAGAUUAAUUUCACAUCCUUUCGGUCAAGAUCCAUUGACACUUUUUUUGUUUAUGAUCAUUGGCAGCCUUUCGGUCACGAACGUUUUGUAUAUUUUUGGUCAAAAUACAUUCACAUCCUUUCAGUCACAAAACGUUCAUACUUUUUGGAUUAUGAUAUGUUCGUACCUCUUGGAUCACAACACGUUCAUACCUCUUAGAUUAUGAUGCGUUUUCAUAUCUCUUAAAUCACAAUACAUUUGUACAUCUUCGUUGAUGACACCACGUAAAUAUUUAUCCUUUUUUAAUCAUUGUUAAUAUUAAAAUUGUGUCUCUUAAGUUUUUUUAUUGAAAAGUUAUUUUUAUUAGUAUUGAAAUAAAAAUUUAUGUCUUUUUGUUUUUACUUUAUUCAUAUAUAUGAAUAGUCACAUCUUUCAAUUUAAAGGUGGUUAUUUUGAAAUUAUACUUAUAGGAAUAGUCAUAACUUUUCAAUUUAAAUAGUCACAUAUUUUCAAAUUUAAAUGUUAUAUUUUGAAAUGAUAGAAACAUGAAUAGUCACAACUUUUCAUUUAAAUAAUUACAUAAUUUACAAUUAAAUUCUAACUAAUGCACAACUCUUGAAACAAAUAACGAAAAGACACAACUUUAACAAGAAAUAAAAUUUCUAUAAAAAUACACAACUUUUCAACAUUGUUUGGGUUUUUCAUGUAAAACAUUUAAGAGAUGCAACUUUUAUGUAUAAAACUUAAGAGAUUCAAAUUUUCAUAUUAAUCAAUACACUGAAUUUUAGAGAUAAAACAAUUGCAAAUAUUUAUGAAAUAUUAAUAAAUAGAUAUGAGCAAAAUAAAAACGAAAACAUAUAAUUUUUCAUCUUAAUACUAAUAAAUUCAACUUUUCAUAUGAAAAAUUAAGAGAUGCAACUUUCAUAUAGAUGAAUAGUCACAUUUUUCCAGUUUAAAAGUGGUUAUUUUGAAAUGAAACUUAUAUGAAUAGUCACAAUUUUUCAAUUUAAAUAGUCACAUCUUUUCAAUUUAAAGGUAGCUAUUUUGAAAUGAUACAUAUAUGAAUAGUCACAAUUUUUCAUUUAAAUAAUUGCAUCUUUUCAAUUUAAAUACUACACAACUCUUGAAACAAAUAUUGAAGGGACAUAUCUUAAUAUAUAAUGAAAAGACACAACUUUUAAUAAAAAAACAAAAUUCCUAUAAAACACACAACUUUUCAACAUUGUUUGGGUUUGCUGUUAUUAAUUGUUUGUUUUCUACACCAUUUUAUUUGAUUAGUGAAAAUUAUGCUUUGACAAGGCAUAGACAUAAGACUAUUUAUAGAUUUUCAAAAUUUUGUUUGAAGAGUUACAUCUUUUGAAUUAAAAGGUUGUGUCUUUUUGUAAUAAUACUUCUAUGAAGAGUCAUAACUUUUCAAUAUAAAUGGUCACAUUCUUUCAAUGUAAAUAGUUAUUUUUAAAUAAAAUAUACAACUUUUAAUUGUUGAAAAGACACAACCUUUCAACAUAGGUGGAAUUCAAAACCUUUGAGUUAAUUGUGAUUGCUAUUAUUACUAGAUUUGAAAAAUACUUUAAACUAAACAUAAUAAAUAUAAUCCUUUUCUUAUAUCAUAUUGUAAAUUUUAUUAAAUUCUGUUGGUUUGAGUUGAAAUAACUACUAACGUUUUUGAAGAGAACACAAAAUUUUAAAUAAAAAUUAAGAAAAAUAUUAUCGUUUAUAUUUAUUCUUUUGAUUUUUAUAUCACUUUGAUAAAGUUGAAGAAAUAUAUAAUUUAUUAAGAAUAACCAAUAAAUUUUUUAAGUGUUUCAAAUUAUGAUAUUAUUACACUACUUAAUUAAUUUGGAAGAUUGUAUCAAUUAUCACAGGGGUUUUUACUUUGUAUUUGUGUUUCGGUGAGAUUUAGAUAUGUUCGUUUGACUUUUCAAAGGAUCAUGGACCUCAUUUUCUCCCAAAUGUAUUUCAUAAAACUUUUUUUGUAAUAUGAAAAUGUAUUUCAUAUAGGGAAAUUGGUCUCUAUGGCGUUAAAAAAACCAUAAUUCACUUUAUGAUCAAUUUCCCUAAUAUAUCAAUACACCGUUUGUCUUUUCUAUAAUAUUGCUAUACUACCCUUUCAUUCCACCGGUGAAACCUGAAAAAAAAGUAAUCUUAAUUAAUAAUUAGUGAUUGUAAAAAGAAAAAACAUGGCCUUCGUUAUUCUCACAUAUCUAACAAAAUAAAUUUUCAUUGAUAAAAUAUAGAAAGGUUAAUAGAUUCAUUUUCAGAUUUGAGCGACAAAGAUACCAUUGACUACAUUCUUAGAGAAUUUUUGUGGAGGAGAAGACCAUUUUCGAAGGUUUGGUAGGUGACAUAAGGUGUUGUAUAUAAAUGGAAUAAUGCAGAUGAUAUGGAAUAAAACUUAGAUGAUAUGGAAUAAAUUUGAACGUUUAAUAUCAUCGUAUUUUGCUUCUUAAUUCAUACAAAUUUAAUACUUACGUAUUUUGAUAUAUGGGUUGGGGUUUAUAUUUUCGUGUAGGGUUUAGUGAUGAUUGGAUAGGGUUUAGUUUCUGGAAUAUUGGAUUCACCAUUAGGAAAUCAUUACUUUUUUUUUAUUCUGUUUGGAUAUGGAAUAGAACACUUCUGAACUUUCAUAUCAUGUGUUUUAAUUUUGGUGAUAUAGAAUUGACAUAUUACAUAAUAUAAUUUAAUAUUACAUAACAUAAUUUAAUAUUACAUAACAUUAUAUAUAUUUUUAGAUUUUGAUAUAUGAAUUUAGGGUUUAUAUUUGGGUUAGGGUUUAGUGAUUUAGAUUUUAGGGUUUUGUUUUUAGAUUAUAUGGAAUAAAACUUAGAUGAUAUAGAAUAUAACUCUCGAUGCUUAUGUAUGUGAUCAAUAAAGUUAUACGUGGAUAGCUUUUUCUUCUUUCAAAAAACCACAAUGUCACUUACUUUAUAAAUUGUAACUGACAACCUAUUACACGAAAAGGCAGAACCGGAUAGAAUGUGUACAAAAAGUUUGACAUUAAAUUACGUCAAAAUCAAUGCUAAUUACUUAAUUUCAUAUUGAAACAUGGCUUUCUCACUAAGCCCCAAUGUGGUGUCACAUAACCUGUGCUACAUGGAAAUAUUUCCAAUUUUUUUAUCUCUGUUUGAUCGUUUGCAAACCUAAACUUCCUGAUUUAGAAUUUUUAGAUUGUUCGUUUUUAAUGUGCUUUAGGUUGUUAGUUUUUUAUGUGCAUCAGUUUUGAUGACAUCCCUUACUAUUAUUUGAGGAGUAAACCACGGGUUGAAGUACCAUUUUUUCUAAUCUUAUCAGUGUAGGUGAGGUUAAGGUGUUGAAGACAGCAACAACUUACAACCCAACUGAUAUCUUCAUUAAGGUUCUCCCAGUUCAGAGAAGCACUAAAGUUGCUUCGAGUUUCUAAACGUAGAAGUUGUUGCAUCCAGUAAACGCUUGAAUGAUCCGGUAAAGGAGUAUAAAGAAGGCUUGUUAAGAGUUGGAAGGGAUUUCACCGAAGGUUUUCGUAAGUGGUUAUGAAGGUAUCAUGUCUAAGUUGAGAUUUGAAGAUUAUAGACAGGAUAAGGUAUUUACAUUUGACAUCAGACUCUCGGUUUUAUCCUAGAAGGUUCUGGUUAAGUUGGUUGAUAUAUAUGAUUAUAUAUGAUAUUAGGAGAUGAAUUUGGGUAGAGUUUGUGAAUUUUGAGAGUUAAUAGAUUUUAAAAGGUUAUGUAGAUUGUGAAAAUUUAUAUAAAUUUACUUAUAAAAUUUGAUCAUAACCUUUUAAGAUUGAUAUAGAUUUUCAUGAAUUUGUAUUACCUCUUUUCUAUAAUUUUUUGUAAAAUAAAUAUAUAAUCUAUUUAUUUUCUAAAUCAUAUAGCAUGAUUAUUUAUUUUUUCUUUCAAAUUAAAAAGAAAAUAAUACUAAUACAUACAAAAUUGAACAAUUUUCUUAAAUAGCCAUUUUAAAAGAUUUUGUCACAAAAAUAGCAUUAAAAAAAAAGAAAAUGACAAAAAGAAGUUUCAUUAAAAAGGUAAAAGAAUAUUUUACCCAUUGCUAUAUAAAUGUAUAAGUAAUAAAAAUAAUAAAAAGUUGUGUUUAUAUAAUUUCGAAUUCUAUGUUUUAAAAUUCGAACCUUUUUAUUAUUUUUCUAUUUUUAUAAAAAAAAAUAUUUUUUCGAAUUUUCUUUUUGAAAUUCGAAAAUGUUUUUUGAAACUAUUUUAUAAAAAACAAUUAAAAUUAUUAUGAUUUGUGAAUGUAAUUAUUAAUAUUUAUAUUAAAAUAUAAUAUUUUUAAAAAUAAUUAUGUAUUCAAAAAUGUAAGAGUUUAUAAAUGUAAUGAAUUAUAGUUUUGAACAUAUAAGUUGAAUUUAAGAUGCAAUAGAUAUUUGGUAAGAAUAAUUAUUUUGUUUUCAAGGAUUUUGAAAUCACAUGGAUACAUAUGAUAUUUUGAAAUUUGAGUCUUAUGAGUAAAAAUGAAUAAAAUUCAUUUCCCAAUAACACUAGAUUUUGUUAGAAUUAGAGAAUCAACAAUAACUAAACUUUUUUAAAUAAUAAGAUAUUUAAAUGGAUUUUGAAAAUUCUUAAACCAAUAAAAGUAGAUUCUACUAAGAUUUUUGAAAUCCAAGAACCAAUAACAAUGGAUUCUUAAAAUUAUCAAAAUUCAUGAGAAUUCACAAUAACUCCUCCUUAGCUUCUAAACCUCUGACUCAAGCAGACGUUCCGGCUUCUUUCUCCACAAUACUAUUUUCUUCUCCCUCCAAUUCUUGUUUCACACCCUUCUUCUUAGAGUAACUAGGUAAUGAACCCGUGCGAUGUCGCACGGAAACUCAUUUUACAAAAAAUAUCAUAAAAAAAGUUAUUUGUAAAAACUGUUCACAAUUGCCUUUGAAAAAGUACCUACAUUACAAACAUUGAUUUCAUGUAAUUAAAAUUAAAGUACACGUUUAAUAAGAUGAUAAGACAUAUUUUUACAACUUAUAAACAUCAUUACAAAAUAUACAUUUUUAGACAUUUUGACAAAAUUGUCAACUAUUGCAAUUUUUAGAAAAUAAUAUAUUUUGACAAUUUUUGGAUUCCUAUUUAUAAUAAAAAAAACACUGUCCUAGAAUGAUAAGACACAUUUUUAUUCAUUUUCACAACCUCUCGAAAAUCUUUGCAUUCUUAGCAUAAAAAUACAUAUUCCUAAAAUGUUAAGAUAUAUCCUUAUACAUCUUUUACACCUUUUGAUAAACUAUUGUAUUUUUAGGAUUAAGAGACCCACAUCCUUGAACAUUUUUACAACUUUUAAACUAAUAUAAUUUUAGGAUGGAAAACAUAUUUUUAGAUAUUUUGAUAACUUCUGUUAAAAAAUGCAAUAUUUAAGAUAAUAAAUUAUUAUGAAAAGAAAAAAAUAUAUAAGUAGAGUAGUUUUAGACUCACAUACCAGAAUAGUUUAUGUUCAAUCUGAGUAGGUUUCAGUCUCUAAAAUACUUGAAAACUCUUCAUAUAUGAUUUAGUUAUUUUUCCGGUUUCCCAAAACCAAAACCUAUCAAAAUUUUAAUAAAUACUCCCUCUGUUUUAAAUUAGAUGAUAUUUAAGAAAGUUUUUGGUUUUUCAACAUAGAUGACAUUAUCAUAUUUUAAUAUUACUUUUAAUUUUAUCAGAAAUUUAGUAACCAUAGAUAUUUUCUAGUCUAUUUUUUAAUUGGUUGAAUAAUUUUCAAUUUAUAUCUAUGAAUAUUUUUUUGAGUAACAAUAUUUUUUUUAAUUGUUGUGCAUUAUUCUAAACCUUCAUGUAUUUUUGAACAGAUGGAGUAUUGUUCAACUGAAAAAAUAUAAAAGGCAUGACGUAGUUGAAGGCCUUUAAAAUGAUGUAGUUGAUACUGAAUAACUGAAACAAUUUUCUUACACUAAAUAUGGUACAUUAAGGGAGAAAAUAUAACUUUUUCUCACAAAUAGAAACAGAUUUUUUUCUUAGCAAUAUAAGAACUUACGCUAGUAAAACAAAAAAAAUGAAAACUCAGAACAGCAAAAUAAAAGAAAAAAAUAUUGAAUAGAAAAUAAAAGAAAUUUCAGUAAAUGUUAGAACACGUAGAAGUAUAGAAAUAUAAUAAAAUUAAAAUAUUUAUAAAAUACGCUAUUAUAACUUAUACUUAUUUGCUUACAACUUACCACUUUGUACAUGCAAUUUUCUAUUUAUUUUUUACAAAAUGUGUAGACCGUACACAUACUUUGUAUGAUUAAUGAUGAAUAUGAUUUAAAUCUGACAUAGAAAUGAAUGUAAGAGUCAUAAUAAAAAUCAUAUCACAGACAAAAAUUAACAAUCACUAAAUGUUUCAUUUAACCUUUUUCGCUCUUUUCCAUGUAUCAUAUAUAUAUACGACCAAAAGACACAUUGCAAAAGGUCAUGUCUCUUCAUUGGUAAACGGCCGAAUCAUGUGUUCAAACCAGUCCUGAUUCAAACCAUAUAUAUAACUGCACCAAUAGUAUUUCCCAGGGUAUAUUGAUAUGUAUUGAUAUUUAGUUGUUCCAGACCUGUUAAAAUAUACCAACAGACAUCAACAUUUUGAUAAAACUUAAUUUGUGAAAAAUUGGUUGGUUAAUAGUAGAAACAUUUUUUUUAGAUCCUUGAAAUUAUAGUACAUAGAAAUGAGCAAAUAUGAAAAACACAUUCAUAGAUCACUGUCCAAACUUUUUGAUAAAAUAUAUACUUUUAAAUAUUUAUUUAAUUUUUCUAAAGGUAUGAUAAAUAGACAUAAAAACAAAACAAAAAUAAUAUCCAUGAAAACCUAUGUAGCUUCAAAAAUCAAAAGACACAUUUUCAAAUAUUUUUUAGUAAUUGUUUUAAUAUUUUUACGAAAAAGCAAGAAAUUUCAUUUUUUUUAUCAUAUCUAUUCUCCUUAACUGAUAUAUAAUUAUUAAAAUAAGAAAACAGAUCAAUGUCUUUUGCUUCUAGUGGUAAGAGUAGGUGCUUAAAAAUAUGCAUAUGUUCUUCUUAUCUUUACUUAGAUUGCCAUUUGGUAACAAGCAAAUGCAAUACGAUAAAAAUUUUUUUUGCAAUUGUUGUUUGUAGUUAAGAAUAUUCCAAUGUAUUUUGUUAUUUUUUUCUCUAAAAUAAAAGAAUUAUAUAAUAGAGCUAAGAUUUGCUCUAAUAUAUUUUUUAAAACCAAUGUGAGACCUAAUAAAUAUAAUUAUUGAUAUAUUUUAAUUUUGUAAAUAUACAAUUUUAUAAAUAUAUUUAAAUAAUCUGAGCAAGAAAGUUGUUAGAAAAAUCUGAGAAAAAAAGAGUGAAUUACUGAUUGUUGGUGGCCACAAAAAGGAGGCAUUAAUUCAUUCCAUCUGCUUGCACACGUUCAAUCAUAACCAUUCAAAAGAGUUGUAUAUCUUGAAAUAAAACAACCACUAACUUGAUAUUUUCCUAUAAAAAAUGGAGCAAGCACUAAAAUCAGAAAAGAAAACAAUUGCAGAGACAAUUCUCUGCAAAGGUGAUGAUUCUAACGUAUUUGAUGAUGAUGGUGGAAUUAUGAGGGAAUACAGAAUUUCAAAUUCUCAUGUUUAUAUUUAUUAGAUGCAAAUGAGACGUUGACACCAAAAGGGUGCGACUCCUAGAGGAUGUGAAUUUAAAACCAAAUGCAACAUCGUUAGGUCUAUUACAGAUGACGUCAUAUUUUUUUCGCUCAUCAGUUUUCAUGAUUGCCUGUUGAUGGAUAAUGGGCAGACUGCAAACGCAAAUCAAAGUUGAACAUGGAACACAACUUACACGUAAUUCAGAGGUUUUCCACAUUAGCGCCAUUACGUGUUGUAGUAAGUUUUUUUUUAUAACUCGAAUGGUAAAAUAUAAAGGGAGAACAUUGUAAGAGGAGAGUAGAAUUCGCUCACGGCGCACCAAAUUUAUUAUCAUUAUUGUUUCCGGUCAUCAGAUUGUCUGAAAUUCUGACCUACGCAUCAAAAAGAUAAUUGUACAUCUGGUUUUUCCUGGUUAAAUGAUUAAUCUGAAAUUGACUUGGUCGAUGUGUGGUGUGCAUCAAUGGCAAUCUCCUUGAAACAAUGACUCGUGGAAAAAGCUAUUUAGUAUACUUGCACCCCUGUGUUAUUUGAAGUUUACUGGGUUCCCAGCAUAACAAUAAUCCUUUUUUUCUAAUAUAUUUGUGAUUGUUGUGAUAUUUUUUUUAUUAUUAUUUUGAUUCGGAUUUAUCAUUGUUGAUAAUCUAUAUAUAUAAAAAAAUGUUCGAGUCUCUCCCGCAAUGUCCACGUGGAAAGUCGUUCUUUUUAACGGCGACACGUGUCCACUUUUCUAAACGUACCGUAUCAAUUACUUUCAUGGUUUGUGUGAUUGGGCUUUGUGUGAUUGUGUGUGUUAUCCAGCCCGAAUAUAUCGAUAGGCCUCUAACCCUAGAACGUCUGUUAAAAAAUCAGAAAAUGGGAAAGAGCUUUGAUAAAGAAAAAUGGGAAAGAGCAGGAGAAAAGACUGACGGAGACUGAGCGGUAGAGAAAGCGAGAGUCACCACCCCCGGUCUCCUCUCUGCCACGCCGGAUCUCUCUCUCUCUCUCUCCUGUGCCUCGCUCUGUCACGGUUACAUCUUUCUCUCGCUCUCUCGCUCUCUCUCUCUCUUUCUCUCUCUCUGUGUAUGAGUUUUGAUUUCAUUUUGUUUUUGUCUUGGUAAAGAAAGUUGGAGGACGCAGAGAAGCUUGAUGGAGGAGGACGGUGAAGAAGCUUCACGAGGUGGAGGAAGCGAGGUGGAGGAAGCUGGACGAACAGACGGCGGAAGAGGCGGGAUGAAAAGGCGGAGGAGGAGGCAGGACGCUCAAGUUUGCCAGCGGUGGAGAGUUCAACAAGAAGACGACGGCUUUUAGAUUAGGUUUAGUUUUGUAUUUUUGGUCCUUUUUUAAUUUUGUUUAAUUGUCUAAACCAAUUUAAAAUUACAAACCGGUUCAAAUAAAUGAAGAAGCGGCGUAUCUCAUGUGGCACUAUCAAACUGUAAAACCCAAUAAGCUCAUAAACAGUGUUUUAGAAAGUUUUUUUUAUUUGGUAUGAAAUAUAUUUUUUAAAUAAGAGAUAAUUUCGUUUUACUAUAAACAGUAAUUAUUUGAUAUUAGCUUUACCUAUUAUAAUUUUAAUAAAAUUUAUUAUAUAAAAUAUAUUAUACAUUAAAUAACAUAUAAGAAAGAAAACUCCCUAAAAUAGUUUUUGACAUAAAAACAGCCCUAACGGAAAAUAAUGGCCAAAAUUUUUGUUAAAGGGCAAAAUACAUUUAUACCAUAAGGUUAACUAAUCUAGAAUUAGUUUUAGAGUUAAUGGGUGGAAAUCUGAGGAUAGGAUUUCAAUUUUUUUUUAAAAAAAAUAAAUAUUAAAAUUUUCAAAAAAAAAAAAACUAUUUUGGUAUUUUUUUUAUUAAAGGCUAUUUUGUGAUUAAAACUUAAAAAAUGUUAUUUGAAAUAAUUUCCCUAUAAAAAAGUAAUAAACAAACACAUGAUAUAAAUGAUAUAUAUAGCAAACUGACAUAUCAUAUAAACAACAAUCGUAAACAAGCAAAAUAUAUCUUAUCACAUAUAAUUUUUCCUCACAUAAAACAUUCUAAAAGACAAAAAUCAUUAUCAUAUACAUUUCUUGCAAAUGCAAACUUGAAACACAAAUCAUAAAAUCGUAUAAAAUUUAAUAAUCAUAGAUCACAAUUAAAGUAUAUCACGCCUGUAGGGCGGACCGACCCUAGUUCUUUAUAUAAAAAGCUAAAGGUUGUAACGGUUGACAAUUAAAGAUUGCAGUGACAUUAAAAGUUACAAUGAUUCAUCACCAACGGUUAUAAUAGUUAGCCACCAAAGAUUGUAAUGGUCUGUCGUUAACAGUUGCAAUGUUUUAUUCUAAAAAUUAUCUGAAAUAUGUGUCUUUUCAUCUUGAAAUUUUUAUUUAUUUUUAAGAAUUUAUUAAAAUAUCUAAGAAUAUGUCUUUAAAAACUUCUUUUAAAUUAAUUCAAGUUUUAUAAUCAAAAGAUACAUCUUUAAACAUUUAUUUUAGAUUUUUUUAAAAACAGAUUCUAAGAAUCAUAAAACAAAUUGUUACACAUUUUCAAAAAUAUAUUUAAAUCAUUGCAUGAUAAAAAAACAUAUAUCAACAUAGAAAGACACAUCUUUUGACAUUUUAAUAUUUUUUUGUCAAUUAGUAAUGCACCUUUUAGAAUGAAACAACACAACAUUUGAAUGAAACAACACAACCUUUUAGAAUGAAACAACACAACCCUUUGACAUUAAUUGGGAUUGCUAUUAUUAAUAGAUAAGAUCAUUCAGUCAUCAACCUUAUAUGGUAUCAGAGCUAAAGAUACCUAAAACUUUAGCCGCCUCUUAACUUUUUCAAUUUUUCAUCGUCUUCUUUCUCAAACUCCAUGGCUACAUCACCUGCAACUCACGGUGAAACCAUCAACAUCUCUGAGAAUCAAUCUAUUCUCAACGUUAACAUGACGAAUGUUACGAAAUUGACUUCACAAACUUUGUCAUGUGGAGUCGUCAAGUCAAUGCCCUUUUUGAUGGAUAUGAUCUCUCCGGUCAUCUCGAUGGAUCCAUGACCAUCCCUCCACCUACGAUUACUACUGAUGGCCAGAUCACUACGAAUCCGGCUUACCAACUCUGGAAGAGACAGGAUCGUCUCAUCUACUCCCCCUCUAUUCUAAUAAGAUCAUUCAGUCAUCAACCUUAUAUCUUGUAUAAGGUUGAGAUUGAAGAUUAUAUACAAGAAAAGGUAUUUACAUUUGACAUCAGACACUUGGUUUAUGCUUGAAGGUUCUGGUUAAGUUGGUUUAUAGAUAUGAUUGUAAAUGGUCUGGUUUUACGUUUGUAAGUAUUCUCUCUAUAGGAAACCAGGCGUGUGGAAUGUAUACGUGUGAUGAGCUGAUCAACUCAUCUUAUAAGGGUUAAUUAGUUUAUGUUUAGCUUCUUGAUCUCAAGUUGAUUGAGUUGUAACAGCGAGAGAGAAGAAGAGAGAGGGCAGAGUUAGAGUUGUGAGGCCGGAGACUCGAGCUCUACGAAGGUGAUACUGUAUUGUUGAUUCAAUUCCAGUCCCAGUGAGAUAUAGCAGCUCCUUCUAAUUUGAGGAAGUGUGGUGUGGUAAUACUGGGUAAACAUCUUGCAUGGGUUCAUUUGUGGUUUCUUUGAGCGUUUAUCUUUCUUAAUUAAAAAUUGAGAGCUUGUUACAUGAACUUGUGUAACAAGAAUGAAGAAGAGUACGACGAAUCAAGGAUCAGAAGUUGUGUUACAUGAGCUUUUUGGUUUCUUUUUGGCGUUUCAUAUAUAUACGGAAUUUUUACCAUCUUUUUAGUGGAAUAUACAAAUGACGCUCGGCUUGGAUCGCCAUGGCAUUAGACGCUUGCCGUUGUCGACCACCUCCUUGCCUUAGAUGGCCAUACGGCAUUUACAAAUUACAACCCAGAUGCCAAAUAAGCUUGUCUUUUAAAGCUGCACCAAUUUGCCGAGAUGAAGCCUAAUGCUAGUUCGUUUAAUGUUUAUUUUGAAUGACUAGGAAAAUUUAAACAUUGUAAAUAUGUAACCUUGAUCUAAACUAUGUAACGAAACAUAAAUUAGCACAAAACGUUAUUCUAAUUCAUAUAUUCUUGGAAACAUAAAUGAAACAAUGAUUUCGAAGAGGAUAAAUUUUUUUUUUUUUUUUUUUUUAAAUAUAGAAGAGGAUAAAUUUACCACAUACAAAAUGAUGAGUUGCAUACUUGCACGUAAUUUAAAAUCAGAUUCUGGUUUCAUAUAAGAAGUUUUGAAGAAUCGCGAGAUUUAUAAAAUAUUGGGGCUCAAAAGGAAAAUUUAGGUAAUGUUGCUUUAAUUUUAAAUUAAAUUAAAAGUGUAUUGACCGGAAAAAAUUAAGAAAAUAUAUAAAGCAAAUCGUAAGGACCUGAAAAAUCUUAUCCCAAACUCUCUCUAUCGCUUCCUCUCGACUCUCUUUGCUUACAUCGAUCGCUGGGUUUGUUUGAUUUGGAAUUCAAGAUCGUGUUCCCUCUCUUCAAUGUUGAGUCGGUUCGUUUCUCGGAUCUCGAUGAUCCUCGAUUCUCUAAACCACGCGUGAAGAAGACGACCUUACCAUUUUUCGCUCCCUCCCUUAGCUAAUUUCUCGCCGCCAUGUUCGAAGCUCAUGUAAGACCAUCUCCAAUGCUAAACUAUAAUUUUCUCUAUAUUUCAUUUUAAAAUAGAAUAAUUCUAUUAUAAAGUGGGAUUUGCUGGUUCACUCUAUAAUAGAGUUACUCUAUAAUAUAGUGAAAUAUAGAGAAAUAUAGAGUAUUCUUGUUUUUCAUUCUAUAUUUGGAGUAAAAAAAAUAAGAUUACUCUAUAUUUCACUAUAUUAUAGAGUAACUCUAUUAUAAAGUUAACCAUUGGAGUAAAUUUAAUUCUAUAAUAGAGAAAAAAAUAGAGUUUCCAGCCCUUUCUAUUUCGAUGUUCGAAUCGUAGAUGCUGCUGGAGAACUAAUUAGUUGAUAUUUUGAAUUAAGAUUUGAAUGUAACUGAUGAACAGUUCCAUGUCCAGCUUAAUUGGUGAAAUGGAGUAUCUAUUAAUUGCAGUCUUACAACUUGGUAUACAGGUACUACAUCUGCUUCGGAGGUAUCUGGGUGAAUAUGUGCAUGGACUCUCCACAGAGGCUCUGCGGAUUAGUUUCUGGAAAGGUUGGCAUAUCUUUUUAUAAUAAUUUUAUAUCUAGGGAGUAUUUACAAUUCUUAUGUGCAAAGACUGCUCAUGAUUUAGUUAUCUCGAAUACGAAGUAGUUUGUUUACUGGUUACUGGUGAUAUUGACACAUGUAGAGAUGUAAUCCCUUGGCUUUGUAGUCAGUUGUUUAACUUUGGUUCUUCCCAUUAUUGAUGUUGAGCUUUACUGCUUUUCAGGGGAUGUUGUUCUUAAAGAUUUGAAGUUAAAGGCGGAGGCUUUGAAUUCACUGAAACUCCCUGUCACUGUCAAAUCCGGUUUUGUCGGAACCAUUACUUUAAAGGUUGCUAGUUUUCUUCUUCUCUUUGUGGAUUUUUUUUUUGAUGUUUUUUGUUCAGACCACUCUUACCAUUUAUACGGUAAACUGAUAUAAGCAUGUUUCUUUCUGGAAAGUUUGGUUACUUGAGCUUGGAUUGAAAAUCCUUGCCGGAGUUACUUGCAUCAUAUUUCUUCACAUGCUAAUUCCUAUAUAUGCUUACUAAAGUACUUUGAGGAUCUAGAGAGAGGAAAAACCACUUAUUGAUGACUUAGCUAAGCUUACAUGACCAGAAAUGCAUGCAUGUGUGAUGCUCUUAUGCAAUGAUGUACAAUAGCAAUGCUGGGAAUUGAUAUGGUUUAGUUUAUUGACAUGUUUGUUGGUAAAAGUGAAGAGAGUGAAUUUUUUUAGCCUUUUUCACAUGAAUUAUUGAACUGUAAGGCUAUUAGCAGUGUUGAAGGAGUUAUGAGCUAGAAAAAUGUGGUAUGAAAUUUUUUUAUUGUGAACGUGAUAUCAGUUAUAGGCAAAAAUGCUUUAAUAGAGGGAAGUCCCAUAUGAUUUAAUUGGGCUACAUUUUCUGUUAAUCAAGUAUUUACAACUCUUUGAAUAAUAUGUGGACUUUUUAAAAGUAGAUAUGCGUAUGAUUCUGUUUGUAGUUUUGGUUUUUGUUUUUUCAAAAUCUAUUUUUCAUCCAAUCAAGAUUUUCAAAUAAUAGAUUUCCUAAAAUGUAGGGAAACUAGUUUUUUUUUCUUUCAAAUAACUGUUUUCUUAACACAAAAUCCCAAAACAAGUUUUCAUGGGGUUUUCUACUUAUGAUGGUUUCUAUUUUUUUUUCUUUUGUUUAUUCUUUUUCUAUAUUUACCCAUUAAUAUAGGAAAAAUAAAUAAAAUGCUAAUUAAUAUAAAAAAUAAGGUUUUGUAAGAUUCAAAUCUGUGUUUUAUUGUCACAGGGCGUCUACUAUUCAUAGGCUGUCAAGAAAAAAUAAAUUUGAGGAUGUAAAAUAAAUAGUAUAUACACUUUUUUGGUCAAAAUAGUAUAUACAUAAGCAUGAAUUUUAUGUCUAUGCUAAUUGAAACUAACAUUAAAUGUAAUAAGAUUAGUGCAGUUUGAAUGAUAUAUAUUCUACCUAAUAAAAUCAAUCUUUUUUCUAAUAAAUUGAUUGUCAUAAAAUUUAUUUUGCUUUACUAUAGUGAACUACACAAUAACUCAUAUACAAUUUUAAACUUAUCAGUAAAAUAAAUUUCAUAAUUCAAAAUUAACAAUUAAAAUAAUACGUAAAUAUUACUGUUAAUAAAUUUUGUAUUAUUUAGAAAAAUUAAUUUUCAGCAUUUUACUAUUUCAUGCCUAUAAACUAGGCCUGGGACUUUUAUCUGAGAUCCGGAUAUCCGGAGGGGCCAAAUCCGAAUCUGGAUAAUAAAAUGUUGGAUCCGUCAAAGCCGGAUCCAAAUAUCUUGAUUUUUUAGUCCGGAUAUAUCCAUAAGUUUUAUUAAUAACUAUUUCAAAAUAGUAAUAUCUAUAUAUAAAAAUUAAUUUUAUUUAAUAUAUUUUUAUUAAUUAUUAUAAUAGUAUAUAUAAAUUUUGUAAUAUUAUACAUAAAAUAAUUAUACAUGUAAAUUUUAUAUAAUUUUUGUAAUAUUUUUAAAUUAUUGUUAAUAUUUUAUAUAUAAUAACAUUAUUUAUUUAUUUAUUUCAAGGAUUCAAAUCCGGAUCUAGAUAUCUACAAUUUUUAGAAGGAUAUCUGACACCCGGAUAUCCGAAAACUCGGAUAUCCGAGAAUCCGAAUCCAGAUAAGGAUAGUAAAAUUAUGGAUCGGCCGGAUAAGGAUCUGGAUACCUUAAAAUUGCCUAGAUACCCGAUCCCUCCCAAGCCUACUAUAAACUAUAACCAAUAUAAUACUUAGUAUAUAAGGACAUUUUUUAAAAAAAUUGUCAAUAAAAUAAAACUAAUUAUUAAAAUUAGUUUUAUGUAAAGUUAAGUCAAGUUCUUAAAAAUAAUAGACAACUUCUAAAAUUAAAUAAAUUACUAAUGAAAACUUUAGAGAAAAAGAAAAAUAUACAGAAAUUUCAAAAUUAAAUAAAUACAAAUAUCAAAAACCUGAGUCGAAAAUCACCGUUCAUGUUUUUGAACAAAACUAAAAGCCAAAAACUAAAAUCUAAAAUCUAAAAACUAGAAACUAAAAGCCAAAACCAAAAGCUAAAAUCUAAGUAAACAAUUAACAAUCAUCACUUGAAGCUUUUGAUACGAAGUCAACUGUCAUGGAUAUUACCAGUCAGGGUGAUACCCUCCCUGGUUUCUAAACGUAGACUUGUAUUAGCAAAUGUUAUUUUUGUUAGCAAACUCUAGUAAUUAUGGCUAGGUAGCAUAUCUAGAACUUGACAGUGACUAACAAACCUUUGUUUCAGGUCCCUUGGAAAAGUUUAGGAAAAGAGCCAGUCAUUGUUUUGAUCGACCGUGUCUUUGUGCUUGCUUAUCCUGCCCCUGAUGGCCGAACAGUUAAGGCAUUGUCUUGGAUUUUGUGUUGUCUCGCCUUUAAGCUUUUUACUUUGGUUGGUACCAACUUUGCUUAAACUAUUUACAUACUAGGAGGAGCACAGGGAAAAGCUUUUAGAAACCAAGCUUCAGCAGAUCGAGGUAUUAAAUUUUUCUGGCUGAUGCAUACUUCUGAAUACAAUCGAUAUGAGUUUUCGGUCUUUUAAUGUACAAGAUAAACGUUGAUGUUUUCUUAUUUAUCAUUCUCGUGUUUGCUACAAAUAGGAAGCAGAAUCGGCAACUCUUGAAGCAAGAGCAAAAUCUAAGCUGGGAAGUGUAUGCUUCUGAACUCAACUUAUUUUGUAAUUUUUAUAUCGUUCUUAUUUUCUUUUUACGGGUUAUCUGUUUGAGUGACGUGGAACUUUCCUGAUCAGAUUAGAAGAUUCCUUAUGAUCUUUUACGAAGGAUAUAUAUGCCCUCCUUGUACUAGAUAAAUGUUUUUCUCAUAUGCUAAUUAUGUUAUAUGUUAUAACUUGUAGCUCUUUUAUGCUUGGUUCUUUGCAGCCUCCAGCAGGAAAUUCUUGGCUAGGUUCGCGUAUUGCCACAAUUAUUGGCAACCUUAAAGUAUCCAUCAGCAAUGUACAUAUUAGAUACGAGGAUUCUACCAGGUUUGUGGCUGUUGGCCUUUUUUUAUUUUCCAUGUUCUGCUUUUAUAGCCACAUCUAGCUUUUGUGUUCUUUAGUAAUGUCAUUGUUGGUGUUUAUUGGACACGACUCAGACGUACAUGCUAAUCAAUUUUUUCGUAUUUCAACAAUAUAUGAUCCAGUAAUCCAGGGCAUCCCUUUGCUUCGGGCAUCACCUUGGCCAGCCUCGCAACUGUUACAAUGUAUGAGGAAGGAAAUGAGACAUUUGACACAAGUGGUGCUUUGGAUAAAGUGCGUAUAGUGAGCUUUGUUUUCUUUCUUUUCUAUUAUCAAUUAGGCGGAGCAGUUGAAACUUGAAAGUUGACAAAAACAUUGUGUUUCAAAGUUUCGAAUAUUUCCCAUUUUAUGGUCUCUCAUAUACGAAGUUCAAGCCCCUUUUCCAAGAGGCUUGAAAUACGAUAGACCAUCGAUUAGACUUUUUAAAGGAAAUGUCGUUUGUUUCACAUGAGAGAAUGAGGUAGUAGUUUUUAAUUGAUUCGUAGUUCAAAAAAUAUUUUUAAUUGUUCAUUUGUCUCUAUUCAGUUAGUUAGUUUCUCUGAUGUUUGUGCUCGAUUAGAGUGCGUUUCAUAGUUGAUACUUUGUUACAAGGUCUGUUGGUUGAAAACUAAGUGUGCUGAAUGAUAAUUAUACUACUUAUUGACUUGUACAGACACAAUUAGGCUAACGCAUGGUCUCUGUCACAGUCAUUGCAGCUUGAAAGGCUUGCUCUGUAUCAUGAUUCUAAUAGCUCUCCCUGGGAAAUAGAGAAGCAAUGGAACGAUAUUAGUACCGAGGAGUGGGUUAAGGUUUGUUCUUGUCCACCUUUUACUUGGUGAUUAUUUUGUGUUUUGCGUCAAAUUAUUAGUCAAGUCAAAUGUUCCUUGAGGUUUUAUGUAUUUAACUACUGGCUGUCUUCGUUCAGAUGUUUGAAGAUGGCAUAAAGGAGAAAACUGAGCAUAACCUAAAGUCGAAAUGGGCCUUAAAUCGUCGAUAUCUAUUGUCCCCUAUCAAUGGAUCUCUUAAGUAUCACCGGUUAGGAAAUCAGGAGAGAAAUAAUCAGGAGACUCCAUUUGAAAGAGCGUCAGUUAACAUAAAUGAUGUUAACGUGACAAUCACAGAGGUACCAUUUUCUGUACUUUUUAUUGUUGUUUCAAUUUUUUUCUGGGCAAAUGUUUCUCGUUUUCUUCCAGGGGUAGCUGUAAUAUUUUCCAUCGAGUUUUGGUUUCUUCUGUCCAUCUUUGUACUUCUGAGACCCGUUAGAGUUUGAUACUGCGUCUGCUUAGUGAUUUUUGUUUUUGAGGUGCUGGACUUAAGUCACUUGUAUGUUGUCUACCAUGUUUCCCUUACCAGGAACAAUAUCACGAUUGGAUAAAGCUAGUCGAAGUUGUUUCAAGAUACAAAACAUAUAUUGAGAUUUCACAUUUAAGGCCCGUGGUUCCUGUUUCAGAGGCUCCACGUUUGUGGUGGCGCUUUGCUGCUCAAGCUAGUUUGCAACAAAAGAGACUAUGGUACGUGCUCGUUUCAUUUAUAUCUCCCUUGCAGGAUUUUACUGACAGACUAGGAAAAGAAACAUCAUUUAUCUAGAAAAUCUAUUUUGUUUUUUAGUCUUGCAUAGUUGAUCAUCUUCUAGGAAAGUAUACUGCAUUCUAUAUGUGGAAUGAUGUUGUAUUUUGAUCUGUCUUUCAUAUACUGACCCCAUUUCAGCUAUCGAUUUUCCUGGGAUAGAAUCCAUCACCUUUGCCAGUUACGUCGGCGUUAUAUUCAGCUGUAUACCAACUUUCUCCAGCAGUCAUCAAAUGCUAAUAACCCAGAGAUGAGAGAAAUCGAAAGGGACCUUGAUUCCAAAGUGAUUCUUUUGUGGAGGUAAUAAUUAUAUCCUCACAUUUUGAGUGGAAAGCAUCAAUCUUGUGGUGUAUACCACCGGAAUCCAUCUCGAAGACACUUGAUCUCUGGAUUGAUUUGGCUAUUGUCAUGACAAUGGUCAAGUUCCAAAUAUACUGAAAGUUUAUAGACAUAUUUGACUUACUGUUUGAUUACAUAGUCUUAUUAUACCACUUUUUCUCAGAAGAAGUUCAAGCUUUGCCAUUCUUCCUCGUUGUUUUCAUUGGGAUUCUUAAUGGCACUGUGCUGUCUAUGUGCUUUUCCUCCUUCCGACUUAUCUGACCAUGUGCUGUAAUAGGUUGAUUGCACAUGCAAAGGUAGAAUCUGUGAAGUCAAAAGAAGCAGCAGAGCAGAGAAAGCUAAAAAAGAGCGGUUGGUUCUCAUUUAAUUGGUUAGUGGAUUCUGGUGCUUCCUUCUGAAUAUGGUUGUCUUGCUUUUUGGCUUUUCAAAUUCUUAUCGUAACAAUGAAUGCAACAUCACAGCCAGAUUCCAUAUUUUUUAAUUAAUAUUUGUCGUUACUAUCUCCAUGAAGGCGGACAGAAGCUGAAGAUGAGCCUGAGGUCGAUAGUGUGGCUGAGGGAUCGAAAUCGGUGGAGGAAGGAUUGACUAAAGAAGAAUGGAAGGCCAUAAAUAAGUUACUGAGUCAUCAGCCAGACGAAGACAUGAAUUUGUAUUCAGGAAAAGACAUGCAAAAUAUGACUCACUUUCUUGCAACGGUAUCAAUUGGUCAAGGAGCCGCUAGGAUUGUUGAUGUAAACCAAACUGAGGUGCUGUGUGGUAGGUUUGAGCAGCUCGAUGUGACGACAAAGUUCAGACAUCGAAGUACUCAGUGUGAUGUAUCACUGAGGUUCUAUGGCUUAUCUGCACCAGAAGGUUCCCUUGCACAGGUUUGUUUUCAAAUUUCACCUUAUGACCAGGGUCACAAACCCCUGUGAUAAGAUUCUGUAUUCCUGUCUAUAAAUGAAGAUUUGACCUUUCCCUGCUCCCCUCUGUGUGUCAUGCUGCUGUCUUUGAAGAGUGUAUCCAGUGAGGGAAAGACAAAUGCCUUGAUGGCUAGUUUUGUGAAAUCUCCAAUUGGAGAGAACAUUGAUUGGAGACUAUCAGCAACGAUAUCCCCUUGCGCCGCUACGGUAAUCAGUUCAUAUAUGUGUGCUCUUGAAACAUAGGUAUUUAGGACCUUAUAAAAAACGUCUCGAAUAUAUAGCAGCGUCUUUGGAUAGUAAAUUUUCUGGACCUUAUAAAACGUUUUUGGAGAUUAAAACUCCUUUUUGGAAAUAUGGAUGGAUAUACACACACAUAUAUAUAUAUAUAUAUAUAUAUAUAUAUAUAUAUAAUAUAGUAUUGUUAUAAUUUUAAACUACGAAGUACUAGUAACUCUCAUGUGCAUAUGGUUUUCUUAGUUUGGAAUUUUAAUGUAACCAGAGAUGCGCUUCUCAAACAUUUAACAUCAGCGAUGGAUGCUUUAGUGUACUAAAUUCAGUUACUGCCAAAGGAGCACUAACAAUCUUAAUUCAGAACAGAUGAUGAUUUUUUGGCGGAUUAGAUAACUUGGUUCUGGGGAUAGCACAAGUUGUUCAUUUUAAAUCUUGAGCACAAUUGGUAAUUUUCGUACUGCAGAUCUGGACUGAAAGUUAUGAUCGUGUAUUGGAAUUUGUGAAGCGAAGUUGCGCAGUUAGCCCUACUGUUGCACUAGAAACUGCUGCUGCGCUUCAGGUACUGUUCUAAUGUUCAGUGCACUUUUUAUUACAAGAAUUUAUUGCAUAUGCGUUAAGGUGACAAUAAGACGUGUACCCUUACGCAAAUCCUUAGUCAUAGAUUUCUGUAUGUUUACUAUCCCGCAGACUUUUAGGCUUUAGCAUUUAUUUUUAUUUUCACCGUUCUUUAUUACAGAUGAAACUAGAGGAAGUGACUCGACGGGCUCAAGAACAACUUCAAAUAGUGUUGGAGGAGCAAAGCAGGUUAGAACAAUUUAAACUUGGAUCUCUCUUUACCAUUGUCCCUUAUAUCAGAGUUGGACCAUUUGGUGAUGACUAAAGCGAGAUGCUGUUUGCAUAGAACAAAAGCUAAAUUAUUGUAGUCUGUUCGAAUUUGGAUAUCUAAAUAUUUUAUCAGUUCGGACAGGUAGCAAAAUUUUCACCGGAUUCCUUAAUGCUUUUCCUUUGAUUUCUCAGAUUUGCUCUUGACAUUGAUCUUGAUGCUCCAAAAGUGAGAAUCCCUUUGAGGGCUUCAAGAUCGUCCAAGUGCAGUAGCCAUUUCCUUUUGGAUUUUGGUAAUUUUACGCUAACCACCAUGGUAAGUUUCCAGACUUGCUAUACGACUUUAGUAGUGGUUCUCUUCUGUUUUCUUAUACUUCUUGUACAAGUGCAGGAUACUUGGUCUGAGGAGCAAAGGCAAAACUUAUAUUCUCGGUUCUGCAUUUCCGGAAGAGAUAUUGCCGCUUUCUUUACCGACUGUGGAUCUGACAACCGUGGUUGCAGUUUACUCAUGGAAGAUUUCACUAAUCAGCCAAUGUUGUCUCCCAUUCUAGAGAAAGCGGACAACGUUUAUUCCCUUAUUGAGAGGUGUGGAAUGGCAGUUAUUGUUGAUCAGGUAUUUACCUUGUGCGACAUUUCUAUUCAUGUGUCAAUUGCUAAAACGAGGCAUUUCUACUGACACGCAUAUAUAUCUUCUUGAAGAUCAAAGUACCUCACCCAAGUUUUCCAUCCACAAGAAUUUCCAUCCAAGUGCCAAAUAUUGGUGUUCAUUUCUCGCCAACAAGAUAUAUGAGGAUCAUGCAACUGUCCGACAUCUUGUAUGGUGCUAUGAAAACCUACAGUCAAGCUCCUGUUGAUGACACUCCGGAUGGAAUCCAACCUUGGAGUCCUGCAGAUCUUGCUAGUGACGCUAAAAUCUUAGUUUGGAAGGUAUGUUUAAGUACUUUUCAAGCUUGAUUUAUCUUUGUUGGCUUUGACUGUAUGAAAUCUAUUGUUUCAGGGAAUUGGUAACUCUGUUGCUACUUGGCAGCCUUGUCACCUUGUUUUUUCUGGUUUAUAUCUGUAUGCAUUUGAAUCAGAGAGGUCACCUGAUUAUCAACGUUAUUUAUGGUUUGUGCUAUUCUCCACUCAUUAUUUUGUUUCAUGUACCCCUCUCUUUUUUUUGUACUUUCGAGUUACUCUUCCUGCAACAAAGUUUUUUUGCAUGUGUUAAGAGAAGACGGUUAAGUUAGUAACUUUGUAUGUGCAGCAUGGCUGGCAGGCAAGUAUUCGAGGUUCCGCCCGCAAAUGUUGGUGGUUCACUAAACUGCCUUGCUGUCGGUCUUAGGGGAACGAAUCUUAAAAAGGUAAGCUAAGCUGCCUGAUUGUAAACAAUAGGAGUCAUAAAAGAACCGGCAAAUCUAUGAGUCCAGCGUUAAAAUAUACUCCUAAUUGGGUAUGCCUGCUUAGUCUUGAAUCGGUACCUACCUGAAAUAAGAUGGUUGAGAGUGUUGAUGAUUCUCUGGACAAAAAGCCAGCUCACAUAUAUUCCUUUACAGCGGCUUUCCUUGCUGUAUUCUUAUAUGUAUUUUCCAUUAAAAAUCAUGGAUCUCAUGCAUUCUUCAGGCCCUGGAAUCUUCUAGCACCUGGAUCAUAGAGUUUCAGGGGGAGGAGAAGGCAGCAUGGCUGAGAGGACUUAUCGAAGCUUCCUAUCGAGCUUCUGUAUAUUUAUAAAAUCUCAUUCACCUUUUUUCUGGGUUUUUCUUUCUGCAUUGGUUGUGUCUGGUUGAUGCUGAAAAAUCUUGUCCGUUUGUAGGCUCCUCUGUCGGGGGAUGUACUUGGUCAUACAAGUGAUGGUGAUGGUGACUUCCAUGAACCUCAGACCGGGAAUUCGAAAGCUGCUGAUCUUGUUAUUAAUGGUGCUUUAGUUGAGACGAAGUUGUACUUGUACGGGAAUGUUAGCUGUGAUCAGGUCUCCACAUAUUUUUAUACCAGAACUUUCAUAGUUCUUAUUUUAACUUGGAUUUUGAAAUCCUAAUCUCCUGCAGAUCAAGGAUGAAUGUGAUGAGCAGCUUGAAGAGGUUCUGCUUCUCAAAGUUCUUGCUACGGGAGGAAAGGUUUGUGUUUGUUGGACAUACUAAGCUGAUACUGAAGUUGUGUGUAUGAGGCUUACUGGGUGUGCAAAGCUUAGAAAACCUAACACCAUGAUAUUUAGUUUCUGAUUAAAAUGAUAUUUAUAUCAUUAAGCCUGGCUAAGAUAAUGAUUAUGUGACGGAAACUACAAACAGAACCACGGCAUUGUUCAUAAAGGUUGAUUAAAUGAUUAAAUUCUUCUCGUACCGUUCGCUAAAUCAGGUUGCAUUUUUUAGGAACGCCACUUGUGAAGAUGUCCGUUUGGAUAUUUUUAUUUCUUCUACUUAUACGGUUGAUAUACAAUAUACUAGUUUGAUAGAGGCAGAUUUGUGUUUACUCUGCAGGUCAAUAUGAGAAGUUCAGAGAGUGGCUUAACCGUUAGGACGAAGUUGCACUCUCUGCAAAUCAAAGAUGAACUUCAGCAGCAGCAGUCAGGCAGUCCUCAGUAUUUGGCUAACUCUGUCCUGAAGAACGAAGACAUACAAGACUCACCAAGAUGUGAUUCUUAUGACAAAGAGAUGUCUGUAAGACAUGCAGAUGAUGAAGAUGCCUUUACUGAUGCUUUGGCAGAGUUUCUGUCUCCUACAGAACCAGGUACUCCGGAUAUGGAUAUGAUUCAGGGCAGCAUGCUGAUAGACUAUGAUGAACAUUUAGGAGUCGAGGAUGCUGAAAAAGAUACAUCUCAGGGAAAAGGCCUUUGCGAUGAGGUAUUUUAUGAGGUGCAGGAUGGUGAAUUUUCUGAUUUCGUAUCAGUUGUUUUCUUGACGAGGAACUCCAGCUCCCCCGAUUAUAAUGGAACCGACACACAUGUAUGUAAUCUAAGACCAUGUGAGGUUAGCUUACUGUAGCAAAUAUACCUUCUCGACUUCGCUAAGUUCUGCUUGAAAUCAAUUUCAGAUGAGCAUUCGCAUGUCAAAACUGGAGUUCUUUUGCAGCAGACCGACUGUAGUUGCUCUAAUUGGUUUUGGAUUUGACUUGAGCGCUGCAACAUAUGUGGAAAAUGAUAAAGAUGUCAACACUGUGGCGUUUGAGAAAUCUGAUAUGGAGAAAGACACAAAUGAUGAAGGUGGACGCAUUGAAGGAUUACUUGGAUACGGCAAGGACCGUGUAGUGUUUUACCUGAACAUGAAUGUUGAUAGUGUGACUGUGUUUCUCAACAAGGAGGAUGGUUCUCAGCUUGCCAUGUUUGUACAGGAACGAUUUGUGUUGGACAUCAAGGUAAUAAAUAUUGGCCUGAGGCAUCUUAUUGAACGUAUUUGAUUUUGUAUCUAGCUACUCUUAAUCAUGGCCCCAUACCAGAGGACAAGAAAACCAGUUUGUUAAUGAUUCUAUCGAAACUGAGUUUCUAAAAGUUAGAUCUGCAGUUGGUUCUCUACCUAAAUGUUAUAAGCAAAGCGAAUCAGUUUCAUUGAAAGUCUGUUUUAGUUAACUUUUUUUUGGUUAAAUUUGUUAAUUUUUCAAGGUUCACCCGAGCUCUCUUUCAAUAGAAGGGACCCUAGGUAAUUUUAAACUCUGUGACAAGUCGUUAGACUCUGGAAACUGCUGGAGUUGGCUCUGUGACAUACGUGAUCCUGGUGUUGAGUCUCUUAUCAAGGUAAAAUGCUGACGACCUUAUCUUGCUUGUUUUUGUCGUGAAUCUGCUCACUUCCUCUUUUACUCUGCAGUUCAAAUUCAAUUCAUAUAGUGCUGGCGAUGAUGACUAUGAAGGAUAUGAUUAUAGCUUAUCUGGUACACUGUCAGCUGUCCGCAUCGUAUUCCUCUACAGAUUUGUUCAAGAGGUGCCAGGAUCAAUAACCUUUUCUUACCCAGUUCAUUUAAAGUGCAAAGGAAACUUAAAUGCUCUUCUGUGGACAUCAUUUUAUUAUUGACCAAACCAAUGAAAUGGUUUUCAGAUUACAGCGUACUUCAUGGGACUUGCCACUCCUCAUACAGAAGAAGUCGUUAAGCUUGUUGACAAAGUGGGAGGCUUUGAGUGGCUAAUCCAGAAAUAUGAGAUGGAUGGUGCUACUGCGCUGAAACUAGACCUUUCGUUAGACACUCCAAUAAUUGUUGUUCCUAAAGAUUCUCUGAGCAAAGAGUAAGUAUAAAUGAUGCGGUUUAUUAUUUGAUAUGUCCUAUGCUAUCAGUCACGUAUUAGGUAUGUCAACACUUCGGUUACAUAGCUCUCUAACGGUAGUCUAGUAGUUGCCAUCAAAAUUAUUUGCGUAAUAUAGUCUUUAUCCUGUAGCUCUAAAGAAAGCUUGAGGUCUGCAACAUAUUACCUUUUGUUACUGAAUCUCUAAAAGAUUUACUUUAAUCUUUCUCUGCACGUUGGUAAAAUCUCAACACACUUCUAUUGGCUGCAGUUACAUACAACUUGACCUUGGUCAGCUGGAGGUAUCAAAUGAAAUAAGCUGGCAUGGGUGUCCGGAGAAAGAUCCUAGUGCUGUACGUGUAGAUGUUCUUCAUGCAAAGGUUCGUAUAUAUUAGAAUAAACAUGAAACACUUUUGUUUAACGUAUGGAUGAAAACACUACCCUGCUGAUUGUUUCUAUUGUCUUUUUGUUGUAAGAUUCUUGGACUUAACAUGUCAGUAGGCAUAAAUGGUUCAAUCGGGAAACCAAUGAUACAUGAAGGCCAAGGAUUGGACAUUUUUGUACGGCGCAGCCUACGAGAUGUUUUUAAGAAAGUACCAACACUUUCAAUUGAGAUCAAGGUAUUGGAUUUCUUCUUCUCUAUACGUUCAAAGAACCCAAAUAUUUAGUUUUGGCGUCAAGAACCGAUCUCUAAACUAAAUAAGUUUGUAUGUUUUUUGUCUUGGCUUCCUGAUAUUGAUAGAUUAGUGAUGACUAUACUUAUAAACGUUAUUAUUGUAAAAGGAUAGCUUGCUGUUUGCCGUGCAGAUUGAUUUCUUGCAUGGUGUGAUGUCUGACAAAGAAUAUGAUAUUAUUGUAAGUUGCACAACCAUGAAUUUGUUUGAGGAGCCAAAGCUACCUCCAGAUUUCCGUGGUAAUAGUUCUGGCCCCAAAGAUCAAAUGCGGAUGCUGGUUGACAAAGUGAACCUGAAUAGUCAGACGAUAAUGUCACGUACAGUAACCAUACUGGCCGUUGAUAUCAAUUAUGCUCUUCUUGAGUUGCGUAAUAGUGUUAAUGAAGAGUCACCGUUAGCUCAUGUUGCGGUACGUACUUCUGAGCAUGAUCAUUCUAUUUUCUUGUAGAUUUCGCCCCUAAGAAAUGUACCAGAUAUCUAAAAACCAAUUUGCCAUUUACUUUGAUUUAACAGCUUGAAGGAUUAUGGGUAUCCUACAGGAUGACGUCACUAUCUGAGACAGAUUUGUAUGUCUGGGUUCCUAAAGUUUCUGUUCUAGACAUCCGUCCUAACACAAAGCCUGAAAUACGGCUGAUGCUUGGCUCAUCGGUUGAUGCAUCCAAGCAAGCUUCUUCUGAAUCUUUACCCUUUUCCCUUAAUAAGGGAAGUUUUAAGCGGGCCAACUCUAGGGCAGUUCUUGAUUUUGACGCACCAUGUUCAACGAUGUUGCUGAUGGAUUAUAGAUGGCGAGCGUCCUCUCAGUCAUGUGUUUUACGGGUUCAACAACCUCGUAUCCUUGCUGUUCCUGACUUCCUCCUUGCGGUUGGUGAAUUUUUUGUUCCAGCUUUACGUGCAAUAACAGGAAGAGACGAAACAUUGGAUCCAACAAAUGAUCCAAUCACUAGAUGUAGUGGCAUAGUUCUCUCUGAGGCUCUCUAUAAACAGAUAGAAGAUGUCGUGCACUUGUCCCCAUGUAGACAGUUAGUAGCAGAUUCACCGGGGGUUGAUGAGUAUACUUAUGAUGGAUGUGGAAAGGUAAUCUCGUUGAGUGAACAAGGAGAGAAGGAUUUAAACUCGGGAAGAUUAGAACCUAUCAUAAUUGUUGGGCAUGGAAAAACGUUGCGGUUCGUGAAUGUAAAAAUUAAGGUAGAAACUCUUUUCUCUUUAUAUAUAAUAAUAUUAGAUACAUCCUUUUGUAAUUUUAAAAUAAUCACUUGGUAGAGUGAAUUUCUUUUCCGAGCGCUUAUAGCGUGAAGCGGAGAAGGAUUCUUUGUUUUGUUGUAAUUACUGCUUCACAUUCUCUUUUUCCAAGAUUCUUAAUUUUGCUAACUGCUUCUUUUCUGUUUUUUUCUUCUGUGGCAGAGUGGGUCGCGUCUGAGCAAGUGCAUUUACUUGAGUGACGAUAGCAGCUGCUUAUUUUCCCCAGAAGAUGGUGUUGAUAUCUCAAUGUUAGAAAAUGCCAAAUCUAAUUCUGAGAAUGUGCUGAGCAAUGCGUACAAACCAUCAGAUGUCUCAGAUAUUCGUCAAUCCGAUUUGAAGUCUGGCCAGUGUUUUACCUUUGAAGCUCAGGUAGGUUUCCUAGAGCCUUUCUUUUUACCUGUUUAUAUAGUUUUGAGCGCAUAGUUUAUAGCUAUUUUAUUGCGUUCUAUUUGAUCGAAAACUACUAGACUUUACAUUUGUUCUCUCUUACUUAUUUUAGAUCAUUAUUCCUUAAUUCUGGUGUUUCUUUGAUGUUCUUUCUUGGCUCAUAAGAUUUGUUUUAGAGAAAAAGACUAGGAUAGCACCAAACCAAGUUUUUGUUUCCAAAGUAGCAGUCAAAGCUCAAAGUCACAAAAAUAGGUUUUAUUAUAGAGGUAAAUAUACACUUAUAUCCCUUGGGUUAAUUAAUCCAAACCUUAGGUUUUAGAGUUAAGGGUUGAGGUUUUGGAUUAGGGUUUAAAAUUUUAUAAAAAAAAAUACUAAAAUAAAAAAUAAAAAAUUUAAAAACAGUUUCAAAAAAUAUUUUUAAAUUAUAAAAAGAAAAUUUGAAAAAAAAUAAAAAAAUUUCAAAAAAAAAUUUCAAAAAAAAAUUAUAAAAAUUUCGAAUCUGAAAACAUAUAAUCUGAAACUAUAAAAAAAAAUCAUUUUUUUUAUUUUUAUAUUAUUUAUAUUUUUAUUUAUUUAAUUUUAAACUAAGGGUAUUAAGGAUAUUUUACCCUUUAAUGAAUGUCAUUUUUGUGAUUUUCUCCUUCUAGUGCCAUUUUUGAGACAUAAACUUCAAAAUGUGCUAUUAUUCACAAUUAUCCUUUGUUUUAUGUGGAGGGUUCCGCAACUUCUUUCAGCGGCCAUCUUUCAUAAGUUCUCAAUUACUGUCCUAGCUGAUUAAUGAAACUGGAUUUUUUUUUGUUUUGCUGUAUUUGUCAAUUUCAUAGGUUUUUGCUGUAUUUGUCAAUAUCAUAACUUGUUUUUGCACAGGUUGUUGCUCCCGAGUUCACAUUCUUUGAUGGUACAAAAUCCUCCCUGGAUGACUCCUCUGCUGUAGAAAAGCUUUUGCGAGUUAAAUUGGAUUUUAAUUUUAUGUAAGUGCAGCUUUGUCCAAAUCUAAGUAUCAGUGAUUAACCUAGCACGCAGUGUCAGGAAACAAACGUCUUUCGUCGUUUACAUGGAUCAACAUCUCUCGGUUUGGUUUACAGAUUCUGUAAUGUUGGCGACAAAAAAAAAAAAGUAUCAGUGAUUAAUGUUUAUCAACAUUUUGUCAUACAUGAAAGUUCUGAACAGUUAGGUCUGAGCACAUUUUACAACACAAUAUUUCCCUAAUACAAAUACGUUUGCUUGACGUCGACUCCAUCUUGCCUAUGACGUUGACAACAAGCUUUUUUUUUUCUUCCUUUGUUGUGAACGGAUCUAAAGUUUUUGUUACAUUGUUGAUAUAUUUUUGCUAUUGUUUUCAACAGGUACGCCUCAAAAGAAAAUGACAUUUGGGUUCGGGCCUUGCUUAAGAACCUGGUGGUUGAAACUGGUUCUGGUCUUAUCAUUCUUGAUCCAGUCGAUAUUUCUGGGGGCUACACUUCUGUCAAAGAGAAAACAACUAUGUACUUGACGUCAACUGACAUAUACAUGCACCUUUCCUUGAGUGCUCUAUCCCUUCUGCUGAAUCUGCAGAGCCAAGUAACUGGAGCCUUACAAUCUGGAAAUGCUAUUCCGUUAGCUUCAUGCACCAACUUCCACAGGAUUUGGGUUUCACCGAAAGGUAUGGCAUCAGUUACGUUAGGUGCAUUUUUUUAGUCUGGCCACAUGAUCUAUUAUUUCUCUACCUUGUAACCGACUGUAUCAGAUAAUUACACUAUUGACUAUUUCCUUUUGGGGAUGCGCGCAGAAAAUGGUCCCGGUAACAACCUCACAAUUUGGAGGCCGCAGGCUCCUUCGAACUAUGUCAUAUUGGGAGACUGUGUGACAUCAAGGUAAUAUUAUUAGUGCUUAUCUGGUUACAUGUAUAUCUUGAUGUUACAUAUAGUUUGCUUUGAUAUUUUCAUCCGCACAACAGAGCUUUCAAUGAUUAUAGUAAAUGUUUUGUGUAUCUAAUAUACUCAACCAAAAUAAUUCUCUUGGGGGAUAAAAUUCUUGUUUCAUCCUGAAUGUGUGUGUUCAGUCAUCAAUAGCAUUGAACUCCGUCCAUAAAAUUCAUGGCAAAUCAUUUCCGUAACAGAAAUAACCAAGCUCUUGUCGUAUUGGAGCUUUAACGUAACGGAUGCUUGGGUGUAACAUGCAGCCUCUUUUUCAUUUGAUAUGUGCCAGUGCUUACAAUUGCUUAAGAAGUGCUCACUUCAGUGUACAUAUGUUUUCUUCUUCUAGAAGGUAAAGCUGCAUUAUGAUAUUAAAUCCCUUUAAAAUUUUCCUUUCAGGGCAAUUCCUCCUACACAAGCAGUAAUGGCAGUAAGUAAUACAUAUGGGCGCGUGCGGAAGCCGAUUGGAUUUAAUUGUAUCGGCCUGUUCUCUGUUAUUCAAGGUUUAAAAGAGGGUAAUGGUCAACAUUCUCCUGAUAGAAAUGAGUGCUCCCUCUGGAUGCCUGUAGCUCCUGCAGGAUAUACUGCUAUGGGGUGUGUUGCAAAUUUAGGAAGUGAGCCACCACCAGAUCACAUUGUUUAUUGUCUAAGAUCUGACCUUGUAUCUUCCAGCAGUUUCUCUGAGUGCAUAUACACCGUCCCCUCCAGUUCAUUAAUUGAGUCUGGAUUCAGCAUGUGGCGCGCUGAUAAUGUUCUUGGAUCAUUCUAUGCUCACUCCUCAACUGAGGCUCCCUCCAAACAAUAUAGUUGUGGCCUCAGUCAUUGCCUUCUUUGGAAUCCCCUUCAGUUGAAAACAUAUCCAUUAUGUGACCCAUCAUCUACAAAUGGCUCUCAAAGCGAGCAAACAAAUGAUCAGACUGGAAAUUCAUCAGGCUGGGACGUACUCAGGUCUAUUUCUAAGCCAUCGAGUUAUUAUGUUUCAACUCCUAACUUUGAGAGAAUCUGGUGGGACAAGGGUGGUGAUCUUCGUAGACCUAUCUCAAUAUGGAGGCCUGUACCACGUCCUGGUUUUGCCAUAUUGGGUGAUAGCAUAACUGAAGGGUUUGUAAAUUUUUAAUUUAAAUUUUGGUCUUUAUAUUAGCCACAAUGAAAGAACUGUUUUCUUACAUUAAUGUUAAUAACCUAUGAUUUUCUUCUUCUCUCAUUAGGUUGGAACCACCAGCACUUGGAAUACUAUUUAAAGCAGAUGACUCUGAGAUUGCUGCAAAACCUCUUCACUUCACUAAAGCCGCACAUAUUGUGGGGAAGGGCUUGGAUGAAGUUUUCUGCUGGAUUCCUGUUGCGCCUCCUGGCUAUGUUUCUCUAGGAUGCGUUAUUUCUAAAUUUGAUGUGGAGCCACAUGUGGAUUCGUUCUGUUGUCCCAGGUUUGAUCUUGUUAACCAGGCCAACAUUUACGAAGCUUCUGUUUCAAGAUCUUCAAGUUCAGAGUCUUCUCAAUGCUGGAGCAUUUGGAAAGUUGACAAUCAGGUUGGACAACCUGUUUUAACCCUGAUGUUUUGUCUCUUACUAUGUGAAUGCUUUGUAUUGUCAUCAUUGAACUGUAGGAACUUCUGGGUUUUGUGAACCAGCUACUAUCCAUUUGCUUAAGUACCCACACUGUGAAAAGUAUGUCCCAAUCCUGAUAGCUGCUGAUAUCUUGUGUAGGCAUGCACUUUUCUUGCACGUUCUGAUCUAAAAAGGCCUCCAAUUCGGAUGGCUUUCGCUAUUGGAGAAUCCGCAAAGCCGAAGACACAGGAAAAUGUAAAUGCAGAAAUUAAGCUGAGAUGCUUCUCUCUAACACUUCUAGACGGCUUACAUGGGAUGGUAUGUUAUGGUCAAAUUUACUACCCAAUUUGUUCAAACGCAAUGUUUACAUCUCUAUCCUGUUCUGAAUUCUUCCAGAUGACUCCUCUCUUUGACACAACUGUCACUAAUAUCAAGCUAUCAACUCAUGGUCGUCCUGAGGCCAUGAAUGCAGUACUCGUUGCCUCCGUCGCUGCUUCAACAUUUAACCCACAGUUGGAAGCGUGGGAGCCUCUUCUGGAGCCAUUUGAUGGAAUAUUCAAGUAAAUAUAAUAAUGAGACUUAACUGGGAGAUAAAACUGGAAUAAUAUUUUGAUUUCUCACUUUCGUUUUGAAGGUUGGAAACAUAUGAUACUUCCUUGAGUCAAUCAUCGAAGCCAGGAAAACGCCUGCGAGUUGCUGCUACUAACAUUUUGAACAUAAAUGUUAGUGCUGCAAACCUUGAAACUCUUGGUGACGCCGUUGUUUCAUGGAGAAGGCAACUAGAACUUGAAGAAAGAGCGGCCAAAAUGAAAGAGGUACCUUGUUCUUUAGUCUCUAUUUCUUCGCGAAAACAUAUAUUUUCUUCGUGAAAGUAUAUAUGUCCGCUGUGGUGCAGGAAUCAAGUGUCUCUCGUGAGAGUGGGGAUCUUUCGGCCUUUUCAGCCCUUGACGAAGAUGAUUUUCAGACCAUUGUGGUAGAGAAUAAACUCGGCCGUGACAUAUAUCUGAAAAAGCUGGAGGAGAACUCAGAUGUAGUUGUAAAGUUGUGUCACGAUGAAAAUACUUCUGUGUGGGUUCCACCUCCAAGGUUCUCCAAUAGGUUAAAUGUUUCAGACAGUUCUAGGGAAGCACGCAAUUACAUGACUGUACAGAUUUUGGAGGCUAAGGUACAUAUACGAAAGCAUCCGUCAUUGGAAAUUUUUAUUGUAGCGUAUUAGAAAGCUUUAUGGUUAAGAUGGUACUUUCACUUUUUUGUGAAGGGUUUGCAUAUUGUCGAUGAUGGCAACAGUCACAAUUUCUUUUGCACCCUGCGCCUCGUUGUUGAUAGUCAGGGUGCAGAACCACAAAAGCUUUUUCCUCAAAGUGCUAGGACAAAGUGUGUAAAGCCUUCCACCGCAGUUGUUAAUGACUUGAUGGAAUGCACCUCCAAGUGGAAUGAACUUUUCAUAUUUGAAAUCCCAAAGAAGGUAGUAUAUUAGGAAACGUUUAAUUUUCUGCUUCCAUUAUUGAUCAUCUUCUCUGUUCCUUCAAACUUGUGGUAUCACAAGCGAUUUAGCCUAGAAUUAACAUUAGAUUGGAACAGUAUAUAAAGCUAGUUGCUUCCCCGUGUUUUCUCUGACUCAGAUGCCUAGUAGUACAAGCUAUAUCGUUUUGCAAAAUUCCUUUUUGAAGUUAAAACAAUUGUCAUGAUUUUGGAACUUAUCUCAUAUUUGUAGUCUUUUUCGCUUUAAUUGUUUUAGGGAUUGGCCAGAUUGGAGGUUGAAGUGACAAACCUUGCUGCUAAAGCCGGAAAAGGUUAAAUUCAGUGACUUCUUCGGUUUAUUUACUUCGACCUGUUUGUCAUGCAUAACCAUCAAUUAAGCUGUCCUUUUCUGUCUGUUUUAUCAUUCUUUUCUAGAGUGAAUUGGCAUUGUUUAUUGUUCAUUUGAGUAGAUUGUCGGUCUGUUACAUGAGAGUAAGCCAUUAACUAAUGCAGGAGAGGUGGUCGGGUCGCUUUCAUUUCCUGUUGGACAUGGGGAAAAUACACUUAGAAAAGUAGCUUCAGUAAGGUCGCUGUAUCAGUCAAGUGAUGCUGAGAAUAUUAGUUCUUAUACGCUUCAGAGAAAGGUUAGCUGUUUUUCAUUUAUAUAAAGGUAUUUUAACGUUUCUCAAGCUUCUCUAACAUAUGUUGCUUUCUCAUUUGAUAAAUGAUAUGAAGAAUGUCGAAGAUAUACAUGACAACGGAUGCUUGCUUGUCUCAACAUCUUAUUUCGAGAAGGCUACAGUCCCCAACACACUAAGAAAUAUGGAAAGUAAGGAUUUUGUUGACAGAGACACUGGUUUCUGGAUUGGAGUUCGGCCUGAUGACUCAUGGCAUAGCAUUCGCUCGCUGCUUCCGCUCUCUGUUGCUCCGAAAUCACUACAAAACGAUUUUAUUGCAAUGGAAGUUUCUAUGAGAAACGGAAGAAAGCACGCAACAUUCAGAUGUUUAGCAACAGUUGCAAAUGAUUCAGAUGUCAAUUUAGAGGUAUCCAUAUCAUCUGAUCAGAAUAUCUCUUCAGGAGCGAGCAAUCAUAACGCUUUGGUUGUCUGUGGAUCGUCCUAUGUUUUACCAUGGGGAUGUUUGUCAAAAGAUAAUGAACAGUGCCUACAUGUCCGGCCAAGGGUUGACAAUCUUUCUUAUGCAUGGGGUAGUUGCAUCGCCGUGAGUUCUGGUUGUGGAAAAGAUCAACCAUUUGCUGAUCAAGGUUUGCUUACUCGGCAGCAAACGUUCAAGCAAAGCAGCAGAGGAUCUGCUUUUGCUUUGAAACUAAACCAGCUUGAGAAGAAAGAUAUGCUUUUCUGCUGCCAGCCCUCUACAGGGAGUAAGCCAUUCUGGCUCAGCGUGGGAGCAGAUGCGUCAGUUCUUCAUACAGACCUUAAUACACCUGUUUAUGAUUGGAAAAUUUCUGUUAGUUCUCCUUUGAAGCUAGAAAAUAGACUUCCUUGCCCAGUCAAAUUCACAGUGUCGGAAAAAACAAAAGAAGGCACAUAUCUUGAGAGACAACAUGGUGUAGUAUCUUCAAGGGAGAUUGCUCACGUAUAUUCAGCAGAUAUUCAGAGACCUGUGUAUCUUACACUAGCUGUCCAUGGUGGUUGGGCGUUGGAAAAGGUUGGCUUUGAUAAACUACAGAAGAAUCUACUCACAUUGGAAAAAGUUCUCAUUUCAUUACUAAAUCUGAAUUUCUUUUGUAGGAUCCCAUUCCUGUUUUAGAUCUAUCUUCAAGUGACAGUGUGUCAUCCUUUUGGUUCGUCCAUCAACAGAGCAAAAGGUUUGUCACUCUUUCUUUUUCAUUUCUCGUUCUUCCUGGAAUUCUUAGUAUUGUUAACUCCGCCUAAUACGCCAGAUACAUGAAUCUGUAUUACGGCUCUUUACAGCUGUUUAAGAAAACAAUGGUUAACAGCUGUUUUACGGCUCUUGACCAGAAAGGGUCACGUAACAAAAUCGCAUUUGUUCCAGAAUAUUAUUUCAUCAGUAUCUCUUCUUAACUAACUAGUAUCUUUGGGAGGAGCCAGUCCGUAGUUGAAUUUCAUUGAGGCCGUUAUAAUGUUGAGAAUUAUCAAAUGUGGAUGUUUUUUCUUUUUCUGUUAUAACCCCGAUACAAUACAUUCAUGAUAAUAUUUUGCCACAUCAUACUCUUUCUCUUGGCGUUUCAGGAGACUGCGUGUAAGUAUAGAACGUGAUGUUGGAGAAACCGGGGCUGCACCAAAGACUAUAAGGUUCUUUGUACCAUAUUGGAUUACAAAUGAUUCAUAUCUUCCUCUAGGCUAUAGAGUGGUGGAGAUUGAGCCAUCAGAAAAUGCGGAAGCUGGCUCCCCUUGUUUGUCUAGGGCCUCCAAAUCUUUUAAGAUAAUUCCUGCAUUUUCGAUGGAGAGAAGACAACAGAGGAAAAAUGUCCGAGUGCUUGAGGUUAUCGAGGAUACUAGUCCUUUGCCCAGCAUGCUUUCUCCACAAGAAUCAGCUGCUCGGAGUGGCGUCGUGCUGUUUCCAUCUCAGAAGGAUUCUUAUGUUUCCCCACGAAUUGGUAUUGCUGUCGCAGCUCGGGAUUCUGAGAUCUACAGUCCUGGAAUUUCUCUACUUGAACUUGAGAAGAAGGUGAGUUGCUAAAUAUUAAAAGAUUUGUCUUAAAGCUAAUGGCUUGAAAUUGCUGGACUUUGCUUUAUUGUACGAGAACCAUUUCUGACACACUUCUGUAUAAAGGAUUUCCUCCUAGCUGUCGUCAUUUUCUUUAAUUGGUUGUGUGACUAGCAACUUUCUCUCCUUUCAUUAACCACGAAUUCUUUUCCAGGAACGCAUAGAUGUAAACGCUUUCUGCUCAGAUGCCUCGUACUACAAGCUCUCAGCAGUAUUGAAUAUGACAUCGGACAGAACAAAGGUCAGAUAUCACUUCCGUGUGAUUUUUCUGUUUUCUCAUUGCUGUGGUAUCUGUAUAAAUCACUUGUCUGAAGUCAAAUUCGUGCUCAUAUACAGUGUUUUAUUUGUUGGUGUCUAUUUAUUAAAGAUGUUAUUUGGGCGUGAAAACUCUUAGGGAUUAGCUAGCUUGGCAAACAAUACUUAGUUGGCCUUUGUUUUUCUCUCCUGUUUCCAUAAAAAAUGUACAUGCUGCUGUUAUAUAUUAGACUCCUCUCCCUGGUUUAUUAUAUCAAGAUAAACUAGAGGCGGAUUAUGUCCAGUCUGGAGUCCCACUUGUUAUCUUACUCUCAGUUAUACAUUUGCUUUCAGGUUAUUCAUUUCCAGCCACACACCUUAUUCAUCAACAGGGUGGGUAUGAGCAUCUGUCUUCAACAAUGUGAUUGUCAGACAGAAGAAUGGAUUAAUCCUUCUGAUCCUCCAAAGCUCUUUGGAUGGCAGUCUUCCACCCGGAUUGAGUUGCUGAAAGUAUGUGAAAUACCUUCAGAUUUCUGUAUCUUAAUUUUAAUAUGAUUAAUGUGCUUACGGCGGAUGGGACAUUUUCAGUUACGAGUGAAGGGAUAUAGGUGGAGCACACCAUUCAGUGUCUUUAGUGAAGGUAUAAUGCGUGUCCCUGUCGGAAGAGAAGAUGGGACUGAGCAAUUGCAGCUAAGAGUACAAGUCAGAAGCGGGACAAAAAACUCACGUUACGAAGUUAUUUUUAGGCCAGACUCUGUCUCCGGUCCUUAUAGGUAAAUUACACAUGCCUCAACUGUCUUCCAGUUCCAGAUGAGUUGUUUAUUUUCUGAUGUUACUUUACUGUUUAGUUGGAUAUUGAUGGUACAUUUUCUAGCUAAGAUCAUAUUUGCAUUUAUGAUUUAAAAACUUGCUGCCAAAUCUUUUCUUUGAAACCCAUUAUCUGUUUGGUGAAUCAAGUAAUCCAUGGAACCUGCAUGAAAUUAUUUUAAUACGAUGAUGCAUCCUAUUUACUGAAUCCAAGUUUGUGUUCCCUCUACUAUAUUUACGUUUUUUUUUCCACGAAGCAUAUCUAACCUUUUCUUUUUGUAUUCUAUGUGAUGUGAAUCCAUUCUCCUAGGAUCGAGAACCGUUCCAUGUUUCUUCCUAUUCGGUAUCGCCAAGUGGGUGGUGUCAGUGAAUCUUGGCAAUUUCUUCCUCCUAACGCAGCUGCUUCGUUUUAUUGGGAAGAUCUUGGUAGACGACAUCUAUUUGAACUUCUUGUUGAUGGCAAUGAUCCUUCUAAAUCGGAAAAAUAUGAUAUUGAUAAGAUUGGUGAUCAUCCACCACGAAGUGAGACUGGACCUACCAGACCCAUACGAGUUACUAUUGUGAAGGAAGACAAAAAGAACAUUGUGAGAAUCAGUGACUGGAUGCCAGCAGUUGAACCUACGUCAAGCAUAAGCAGAAGACUUCCAGCAUCAUCUUUGUCAGAUUUAUCUGGUGGGUCUCAGCAAUCUCAACUUCUGGCCUCAGAAGAGUCUGAGUUUCAUGUGAUUGUUGAGCUCGCUGAGCUUGGAAUCUCCGUAAUCGAUCAU